UCCCCAGGCGCUGCUUGGGGAGCGCCGCUUCGUGCGGGGCGUGCGUUCUCCCGGCAGCCGGCCCUGCGCGGCCCGCCCUGGGCGCGGCCCCGAACGCUUCCGCCCACACUGAGGAAAAGUGGUGAGAGGCUGCGGGCGCCGCUUCCCGCCCGCGCUUCGCCUCAGGUGGGGCGGGCAGUCCCUGCCCUCCCGCUCCCCGCGUGCCGCCCCUCAGGUGCUGAGGGGACACGGCGGGACAACGCUGAGGCCCUGCGGGGCGGCACGUACGGGGAGACUGUACCUCGGCUUGAGUUUUACCGCUAUGACUGGCGGUAACAGCGGGAGUUUGUUUAAAUACACUUCGGUGAGCGGCGUGGUGUCGGGAGAAGGAUUAAAAACCGUAGUCAGAGAGGAAGAUAAAUCCCCGCUUUCCCGUAGCGCCGGUGUGGGAGCGGGGCUGCCAGUCCCAGCACAGGUCGGGGUGAGCCCGUGCGAGCGCUGCCCGUCCUCCGGGGAGCCCCGGGCGCCGUGUCCUGUGGCAAUAGCAGCACUCGUGGUAAUAAAAUAAAACUAUUCACAGCUGUCACACUGAUGUCAUAUGAGUAACAGCUUUGAGGCAGUUACUGUGUCAACUGCACCGAACCCAAAACUUUUUUUAAACUACACUGCAUUCUGAAGUGACUUACUGUGGAGAGCUGAUUGGGUUCUGCUGUCUUGAAGCUACUGGAGGAUGAGAAGCAAAAAUUAUGGGCUAUUAAGUUUGCUGCAAAUGCCCUAAAAUGCCAGGGGUGAAAUGAAAUUUCUGUUUUGGCUUUGGGCUCUGUGUAUAGAAAAAUGUACCUGAUGCCAGACAACAAUAUUUUCCAUGUGAGUUCUCCACUGUAUCAAGAUUGCCAACUGUAUAGUAAAGUAUGUGCAAACUGGUGCUGAAAGAGGGGCUAUAGCCUCAGCAAUGUCCCGUUGGGCAAAGCACGCUGUGCUUGUGAAAUGUUGCCUCCUGAGAAAACUUUCUGCCUUCAUCACAGUUCCCCUUGCAAAGCAGUUAACCAAGCCUAGACUCACAUUUUUCACUCAUACUGUAUUUGAUUUACAUCAGCUGAAGGAAAUGGUAAUGUGCAACAGUGACUCUGGAAUUUAAACAGAAACCCACAAGGGAUCUCCAUGCUGAAGGCCAACUUCCAAAUAUGGGAGAAGAGAAGCAGCCGUAGUAGCCUGGGAAGACAUCCUCAGCACAGCAAGGGACAAAAUAGUUAGGAGUAUAUGAGCUUUUUGGAAUUUGUUCAGAAAGGUAACUGUUGUCAUGUUUUAGUCAGAGUGAUGGAAUGAAAUACAUAUACUGUGAUUGCAGAAAGAAGUAUGGUUUAUGUUAACUGUCUAGGGCCUGAACAACAGAAGUGCAGCUAUUUUUUUCAAUUUUAUUUUUAAGUAUGUUGUAGUGCACUUACUCCAGAUCCAAAUGUGUAUCUAAACUCUGCCAAUAUCAAUCUGUUAGGAUCACAGUUUAAUCAGGAAAACCCAUAAGAAAAACAUUUGUGAGGAAAUUAGUGGGGCCCAGUGCCAGGUCUGGUUGAAAUUCUGCCAGAGCAUUUUCUCUCAAUAGAAAUAAAUUCACCAAUAUUUAGACCCCACAUUCUGCAAAUUCUGAUUCAAAGGCUUGAGAAGAGCUUUUCAUUUACAUAUAGCCCCAAAAAUGUAAAGGUUCAACAGAUUCUGUUUGCUCAUAGAUUCACUUGUAUUUAGCAGUUGCAGAUUUUUGAGGCUUCUGAUUCUAUGAGCAGCACUAACUGCAUGUCAGCCAGGCACAUAGAGAAACAGUGACCUAGGGGCCAGAAGAGUACAGAGCCAAAGCUGCAAGGGCAACUGACAGAGCAGGAUAGUGCAAUGUGAUUCACAUUUCUAGUGGGCCACUGUUUACAGAAUUCUCUGUAAGCGGUACCCUUGUUCACUGCAUUACAGACAAGGCUUAGGACCUUUUGUUAGCAUGAGGAUAAAUAUGGCUUUUAGAAACUAACAAGGAAAAUUAAGCCAAAGUCUUACAAAUUUUAAUGCCAUUAGAAAAGCCUUCCUCUUAUGGAUGUGGGCUUCUUAUGAAAGAAAAUAAUUUGUAGGCUAUUUUUCCUACUGACUCUGAAAGAACUGAGUUUUCUAGAAUAGCACAGGCAAGAAUGACUGUGGAAGAGACAAGGGUGCUUGUUUUCCUGGAAUGCUGUCAAGGUGAAGGUGGGAGCAAUAGAUUCUAAUUUUCUUUUUAAACUUCUUAAAGGAGGUAUCCUGUGUUCUGUCAGCAAACGAGAAUUGAUUGCAAUGUGUUUCAAACUUCUUGAACUGACUGCUGUCUAAGCAACAACUGAAUUUAAGUUUCUUUAAGGUCAUACAGUAGUCCAUGUAAUAAUAUAUUAUUUAUAUGUCAUUAGGUAAAAGCAUCAACACUUUUCAGGUUGAUUAGAAGUGCAAGUUGUAGUGGAAAGGACUCCUAUGUUUCAAGUCACAAGUUUCUCAAAUUAGGAUUUUAUGUUAAAGUUGAGUCAUAGUGAUUCUGCUAUCAGUGAAAGAUUUUACAGGAGUGCUACUAAAUGACACCCUUAUGUUUCUGUUUUCUCUCUAUCUUUCUAUAGAGCUGUUCAAAAUUGGAAAUGUAGCAACUUGGAUAAAGUUGUUUCUGCCUAACUGAGGAGAUUUUGGACAUUAUUCUGUAAGAAGACAUUGGUGUGGCUGCUGUUUGGCAGGUGUAUUUUAUGCCACAGAAGGCUUAAACUCUAAUUUGGUUUGGAACCUGAUUUGGUUCUGCUUUUCAGCCUCCAUUCCUGUACAUGAUCAUAGAGUCCAAAAUUAAUUCGCAAUGUAAAAGAUUCCGCCUCCUAGUGCAUGCUAAAACUGUUCAGACUUUAGUUGAAGAAUUAAAAAAAAAAAUGUGCUACAUAUAGCUGUAAAUUUCAAAAUAAGGGGUUCUGAAUGUUAAGUGCCUAUGACUUCAAUAGAGAUAUAUUUUCACUAUAUCAUCAUCGAAAAAGUUAUUUAUUUCAAAAGCUUAUAUGGAAAAAAAAAAUUCAAAAGCCAUUUGUACAAAUUCAUAAUUAGACCCAUCAGGGUGUAUUAAAUACAUAGACACACUAUUUCUACUUCAAAUCCCCGUUUAGAUUUUUCAGCUGAACAUAUGUACUUUGGGAAUCGUUAUUUUAUUCUUGCUCCCCUUUUGUACUCUUUCACAGACAUUUACUGUUGACCACCAUCAGGGUCAGGAUACUGUGCUAGAUGACACACAUGGUCUGACUGGGUAUCUUCAUGUUGUUCCUGUGAAAUGGUUCUGCUCUAGCGCCUCUAUUCAUGAAAGAAGGAACAAAAUUUGUGUCAGGAUAAUAAGAAACUUCAGGGUGAUAACGUGUGAUAUGAAAGUAACUUGUUAUCUGCUGUUCCUAUUACAUCCUCUUUUCUGUGGCUGAGCUUUUCCUCUCCUAGAAUUGACUCAUCUCUGUUGCAACAAAGAUAUAUAUUGUAUAAACACAGUACUGCUCCCGUUUGAUAAUUAGUGAUAAUGUGAGGGAAAACAAUGUGUGCUGUGUCAUCAUAUCCUGGCACUAUGGACAACCAUGGACACAAUCUGAGAAGCACAGCUGUGGAUCAGGUCAUGGAGUGGAUUUGCAUCUAAUCAUGUGGCAGGGACUGCUGGCUGAAUAAACUUUUAAAUACCAUGCAUGCUUUUAUCAUGCAAAACAUGAGCUAUAAGAAUUGUACCUGUAUGAAAUAUAUACACAUUAAAUAUAUGUGCAAAAAUACCUAUAUUAAUGCAUGUGCUCCCAUGCACCUGAUUGACAUGCUUAUCAUAAAUGGGUAAGGUUGGGAAGGGAUCACAGGUGA